UACGGAGGGUGCGAGCGUUGUCCGGAAUCACUGGGCGUAAAGGGCGCGUAGGUGGCUCGUGAAGCGUGCGGUGAAAGUCCGAGGCUCAACCUCGGAUCGGCCGUGCGGACUCGCGGGCUCGAGCGUUGUAGAGGCGGGUGGAAUUCCGGGUGUAGCGGUGGAAUGCGUAGAGAUCCGGAAGAACACCGGUGGCGAAGGCGGCCCGCUGGGCAACUGCUGACACUGAGGCGCGACGAGCGUGGGGAGCAAACAGG
rnacentral:rRNA from 1 species